UUUUUUUUGCAGGAAUCUUCUAGCUUGGAUGGAGGAGUGAACAAAGGGAAGGAGUACUGAACGUUAUCCAGCCUGCUGACUAAGAAAUCUCCUGAAACAUGUCAAUGACCUGAUGUAUGGGGUCUACAACAGUUACCAGUGACCUAUUCUGCCACAUCCCAGUGAAAGGAGAGAGCAGAACCACCCCUCCUUAAACCCAUAGUCAUUGACAUUGCAAAACCUGUGUCCUGAUCAACAGACACCUCCCUUGUAAGUGUCAUGAACAGCCAGAAAAAUCAGGAGCUUGGUGUGUUGCAGGCCCUCUGGAAAGGCUUUAAAUAUGCCCCUGAACGCCGUGGUGGAGAAGGACGCAAAAUCUGACCCAUCGCACGACUCUUGAAGAGGGCCACUACGCUCCAGAUCGCCGUCUGUGCUCAGAGGUCCUUGAUGACGACCUACCCCAUCACACCACUCGUAUGAAUCACUAAUCAAAUAAAACAAUGGGCCUUUAUUGUCACGUUCCUGACCUGUUUUCUCUUGUUUUUGUAUGUGUUUAGUUGGUCAGGGCGUGAG